rnacentral:rRNA from 1 species
UCAGGACUUGAGAGGUGUGGCAAGAGCUGCAGGCUGAGGUGGAUAAACUACCUGAGGCCAGACCUCAAGCGGGGCACAUUCUCGCAGGAGGAGGAGGACCUCAUCAUACACCUCCAUUCCAUGCUAGGAAACAAGUGGUCACAGAUUGCCGCGCAGCUGCCCGGCCGGACGGACAACGAAGUCAAGAACUUCUGGAACUCAUACAUCAAGAAGAAGCUGAGGGAGCGCGGCAUCGACCCCGCCACCCACAAGCCGCUGGCCGAGGCCACCACCACGUCGCCCACCGCGUGCCGAGCGGUCUUCAGCGAUGCCGAGCUCGUCCCAACAACGGCGGCGCUGGCCCAGGACCAGGUGGAGAAAAUGCUGGAUAGCCUGAAGAUGCCGCUGGACUGGCCCGUCGGCGGUGUCGCCGGCAACGGGGUGCCCGAAUCCUACCAGAUGCCGAGCCUUCAGGAAGGCUGCGCCUUCCACAUGGGCGCGCUGCAGCAGCACUGCGGCGCCAUCCCGUCCGCGUCGAGCUCCAGCACGUUGACGGCAGCUGACGUCGGCGCCGCCCUGCCGUGGCUGGAGCUCGGGCCGACCGACACCAUCUCCGGCCACGUCGACCAAUACGCCGGCGCUCUGGGCGAGCUCAGGUGGUCUGACUACUUUGACGGCGCCCUGCAGGGGCAGUGCGUCUACGACAGCGGCAUGGUCGACGACGACGCUGUGCAGUUCGACGACGUCCAUGGGUUAAGCAGCUGGUGCUAA